CCUACGGGCGGCUGCAGUGGGGAAUAUUGCACAAUGGAGGAAACUCUGAUGCAGUGACGCCGCGUACAGGAAGAAGGUCCUCUGGAUUGUAAACUGUUGUCGAAGGGGAAGAAAAAAGACAGUACCCUUGGAGGAAGCUCCGGCAAACUACGUGCCAGCAGCCGCGGUAAUACGUAGGGAGCAAGCGUUAUCCGGAUUUAUUGGGUGUAAAGGGCGCGUAGACGGUUGGAUAAGUUAGUUGUGAAAUACCUGUGCUUAACGCAGGAAGUGCAACUAAAACUGUCUUACUUGAGUAUGGGAGAGGAAAGCGGAAUUCCUAGUGUAGCGGUGAAAUGCGUAGAUAUUAGGAGGAACAUCAGUGGCGAAGGCGGCUUUCUGGACCAAAACUGACGUUGAGGCGCGAAAGUGUGGGGAGCAAACAGGCUUAGAUACCCCGGUAGUC
rnacentral:rRNA from 1 species